rnacentral:rRNA from 1 species
UACAGAGGUCUCAAGCGUUGUUCGGAAUCACUGGGCGUAAAGGGUGCGUAGGCGGCACGGUAAGUCAGAGGUGAAAUCCCGGAGCUCAACUUCGGAAUUGCCUCCGAUACUGCCGUGCUUGAGGACUGGAGAGGAGAUUGGAAUUCACAGUGGAGCAGUGAAAUGCGUAGAUAUUGUGAGGAACACUAGUGGCGAAGGCGAAUCUCUGGACAGUUCCUGACGCUGAGGCACGAAAGCCAGGGGAGCAAACGGG